rnacentral:rRNA from 1 species
CCUACGGGUGGCAGCAGUGGGGGAUAUUGCACAAUGGGGGAAACCCUGAUGCAGCGACGCCGCGUGGGCGAAGAAGUAUUUCGGUAUGUAAAGCUCUAUCAGUAGGGAAGAAGAAAUGACGGUACCUGAGUAAGAAGCACCGGAGAAAUACGUGCCAGCAGCCGAGGUAAUACGUAUGGUGCAAGCGUUAUCCGGAUUUACUGGGUGUAAAGGGAGCGUAGGCGGCACGGCAAGCCGGAGGUGAAUGCCCGCGGCCCAACCGCGGGAUGGCAUGGGGAACUACCGGGCUGGAGUGCCGGAGAGGUAGGCGGAAUUCCUAGUGUAGCGGUGAAAUGCUUAGAUAGUAGGAGGAACACCAGUGGCGAAGGCGGCCUACUGGACUGUGACUGACGCUGAGGCUCGAAAGUGUGGGUAUCAAACAGGAUUAGAUACCCUUGUAGUC